CGGUUCGCCGCCCGCGACGUCGCGAGAAGUCCGCUGAACCUUAUCAUUUAGAGGAAGGAGAAGUCGUAACAAGGUUUCCGUAGGUGAACCUGCGGAAGGAUCAUUGUCGAAACCUGUCGAAGCGGAGCGACCCGAGAACGAGUAUUGCGAUGCGGGGACGGGCGGGCCUCAACGGGACCGUCGUCGACCGAUUUCCGCGGAAGCACGGGUCGGCCGCCGGCUGCGGCCGGGGGCCGCGUCGUGCCGACCGUCGGAACAACCACCAACCCCGGCGCGGAAAGCGCCAAGGAACCGCGACGCGAGCCAGCGCAUCCUCCGCCCCGUGCACGGGGUGCGGUUGGACGCCGCGCUGUCUUGGAAUGCGACGAAAACGACUCUCGGCAACGGAUAUCUCGGCUCCCGCAUCGAUGAAGAACGUAGCGAAAUGCGAUACUUGGUGUGAAUUGCAGAAUCCCGUGAACCAUCGAGUCUUUGAACGCAAGUUGCGCCCGAAGCCUUCGGGCGGAGGGCACGUCCGCCUGGGUGUCACGCAUCGUCGCUCCAUUAGCCCCUCUCCACGGCGGUGGGGGGCGGAGAGCCGGAUGCUGGCCCUCCCGCGUGCUGUCCUUCGCGGCUGGCCGAAAACCGAGGCACGGACGGCGAGCGUCCGACUGGCGGUGGUUGAACCUCGUGCUCACGUCGUGCGCUCGCCUUCCGAAGGACUCGACGACCCUUUCGGAGCAGCUCGGAUGAGCCCUCGAAACGCGACCCCAGGUCGGGCGGGACCACCCGCUGAGUUUAAGCAUAUCAAUAAGCGG
rnacentral:sRNA from 1 species